GUCUGUCUAGCUCAGUUGGUAUAGUGUAGGACUCUUAACCUUGUGGUCAUGGGUUGAAGCCCCAUGAUGGGCG
rnacentral:tRNA from 1 species